UACGUAGGGUGCAAGCGUUGUCCGGAAUUAUUGGGCGUAAAGAGCUCGUAGGCGGUUUGUUGCGUCGGCUGUGAAAUCCCGAGGCUCAACCUCGGGUCUGCAGUCGAUACGAGCAAACUAGAGUGUUGCAGGGGAGACUGGAAUUCCUGGUGUAGCGGUGAAAUGCGCAGAUAUCAGGAGGAACACCGGUGGCGAAGGCGGGUCUCUGGGCCGAUAUCGACGCUGAGGAGCGAAAGCGUGGGGAGCGAACAGG
rnacentral:rRNA from 1 species